rnacentral:rRNA from 1 species
CAGGAAGCAGCUUGCUGCUUUGCUGACGAGUGGCGGACGGGUGAGUAAUGUCUGGGAAACUGCCUGAUGGAGGGGGAUAACUACUGGAAACGGUGGCUAAUACCGCAUAACGUCGCAAGACCAAAGAGGGGGACCUUCGGGCCUCUUGCCAUCAGAUGUGCCCAGAUGGGAUUAGCUUGUUGGUGAGGUAACGGCUCACCAAGGCGACGAUCCCUAGCUGGUCUGAGAGGAUGACCAGCCACACUGGAACUGAGACACGGUCCAGACUCCUACGGGAGGCAGCAGUGGGGAAUAUUGCACAAUGGGCGCAAGCCUGAUGCAGCCAUGCCGCGUGUAUGAAGAAGGCCUUCGGGUUGUAAAGUACUUUCAGCGGGGAGGAAGGUGUUGUGGUUAAUAACCGCAGCAAUUGACGUUACCCGCAGAAGAAGCACCGGCUAACUCCGUGCCAGCAGCCGCGGUAAUACGGAGGGUGCAAGCGUUAAUCGGAAUUACUGGGCGUAAAGCGCACGCAGGCGGUCUGUCAAGUCGGAUGUGAAAUCCCCGGGCUCAACCUGGGAACUGCAUUCGAAACUGGCAGGCUUGAGUCUU